AUAAUAGAAAAAAUACAAUAAAAAAGAAGAAAAGAGAUAUUAGAUCAUGUGCGAUAAAGAAGGCUAUAAGCUUACAUGAUCUGUCUAUAAGCAAAAAAAACAAAAGCAAAUUAAAAAAUUCUGCACUCCCCCCAUCAAAACACAAAGCAGUGGGCUGGCCUCCUGCUUUCUCAGCAAUCUGGGGAGCUGUUUUAACACUCUUUUAAAUACCACAGAGAUCUGAGGAACUCACCUACUGCCCUCAGAGCUUGUCAUGAAUGCUUUGACAACAGGAUAGCUAAAAGGUCCACAAAACUUUUCUGAUUUUUACCACAAUCUAAUUAUUAUUAAGCUCUCUCUUUGCUUCUCUUUAUAAAACUGGCAGCUCAGGCUUCUGGGUUGAAGCUACUUGAAUGCUGGUGAACAUUAUAAACCAGUGGCAGAGCAAGUCCUUUUAUACUGUUUUCAUUUCUAGAAUGGAUGCAUUGUGUGCACUCCCACAUGCAUGGCUCAAUUCUAACACUGGCCCUAUAGUCUGUAAUGCCAGUGCACAGACUUUAACUCUUGUGGAUGAAAAAUGGGUCUACUUGGAAGUAACCUCCAAGGGCAACCUGAUCAUAAAUUCCUCACUGGGCAGGUCAUGAUGGGUAGUCAUGUCCCAGGCAUGUAACUAUUUUAGUACAAGGUUUGUUUAUUGUCUUUGCCUUAAGCAAGCCCUGUCCUUUGUUUUUGUGCACCUAGGUUAACACACCUUUGAAAUAGGAAUAACCACCCUGGUGAGAAAAACUGUAAAACUGUCAUUCUCUGGAGCAUUUGAGAUCUUGCUUCCUGGCAACUGUUGUCAAUUUUGCCUCAAAUAAACU